UAGAAUGUUCAAAAGAGACAAUGUGCCAGUCUGUAUUUUUUGAUAAAUCAACAAAAUUGUGUUAUUGGAAUAACAACAUUCCUGUUACUGUAACAACAGCAACAACUUGUGGAUCUUUACUGUAUUUACAGUUACAUACCGAAACCAGACCAACAUCCUUCUGUUGUUUGUCUUUUGACCCUACAGCUACACCAGAACCCACAACAGAACCUACUACUUCGGCAUCUCCCACAAGUACAGGUGACCCUGAUGGAUUUGUAGAACUACCUUUGUCUGGUAUUAAAGUACGACUCAUACCAACACCACUGUUUCAGGGUCUAGCAGCAGCCGAUUGUUUAAUAUUUGCAGGAAGUAAAUUGGCAGUCAUCAAUUCUGCUCUCCGACAACAAGACGUACAAAACUAUUUAGAUGGCUUAGGUGUGAGCACGGCUUAUAUUGGUGCAACAAAAGGAUUGAUUGGCUGGAUAUGGACGGAUCUCAGUAAUGUAGAAUAUUCAAACUGGGCAUCUUCACCAGGAUUCUUAAAAACAUGUACCAUCAUGGACAGCAGCAAGAGCUACCAGUGGAGCGCAGUUUACUGCACGGACAGUCAUCCUUAUUUAUGUCAAAAAUUGUUUACAUAAUUUUGCAGUAAUGACCAGAGCAUGAAGACAAAGACAAAUACCCAAAUGAAGCACGAAGAAAAAUAUCCAAAUAAAGACAAAUAUCCAAUGAUAAUUUCAAUAGCGUAGCCAGCGGGUUGGACAUAUCUGUCCCGGGGCUCUACUUCAGUCCACUGCUUUGAAAAAAAAAGUUGCAUACAAGCUGACGCAAUUGUAUUUUCCCACAAAAGCACUGCUAAUACUAGGUUUCCACUAUCACGCUACGAUUGAAAUCGUGGUUUUAAUCAUGGAGUAAUCGUGGUGAUCCUAUCAGGUCUUGAGGUUAUCCAAUGAAGCAUGAAGACAAUUAUCCAAUGAUAAUUUCAGUAGCGUAACUAGCGGUUGGGACAGGUCU